AUCAUUUAGCGGAGGAAAAGAAACUAACAAGGAUUCCCUUAGUAACGGCGAGUGAACGGGGAGAAGCCCAGCGCUGAAUCUUUCGGUGUUACACCGUUAAGAAAUGUAGCGUAUAGGUGUGAUUUUCAAUUUGUGCUGCAUGUCCAAAGUCCCUUUGAUAGGGGCCAYAUUCCUGAGAGGGUGCGAGACCUGUGCGGACAGUGGAGCAAAUUGUACGAUUAUACCUUAGAGUCGGGUUGCUUGAAAGUGCAGCCUAAAGUGGGUGAUAAACUUCAUCUAAGGCUAAAUAUAGACGCGAAUUCGAUAGCAAACAAGUACUGUGAAGGAAAGU
rnacentral:rRNA from 1 species